rnacentral:rRNA from 1 species
UACGUAGGUGGCAAGCGUUGUCCGGAUUUACUGGGCGUAAAGGGCGUGCAGGCGGUUUGUUAAGUGCAGGGUGAAAGCUCCCGGCUCAACUGGGAGAGGUCCUUGCAUACUGGCAGACUUGAGGGAGGCAGAGGAAAGUGGAAUUCCCGGUGUAGCGGUGAAAUGCGUAGAGAUCAGGAGGAACACCCAUGGCGAAGGCAGCUCUCUGGCUUCACCCUGACGCUGAGGCGCGAAAGCGUGGGGAGCGAACGGG